CACGUAGUUAGCCGGAGCUUCUUCUGUGGGUACCGUCAUCGUCGUCCCCACUGAAAGCGGUUUACAACCCGAGGGCCGUCGUCCCGCACGCGGCAUUGCUGCGUCAGGGUUUCCCCCAUUGCGCAAAAUUCCCCACUGCUGCCUCCCGUAGGAGUCUGGGCCGUAUCUCAGUCCCAAUGUGGCCGGUCGACCUCUCAGUCCGGCUACCCAUCGCGGGCUAGGUGGGCCGUUACCCCGCCUACUACCUAAUGGGCCCGCGACCCCCAUCCCUUGCCGUCUGGGCUUUCCCGGCCCCCUCAUGCGGAGGGGCCGGAGUAUCCGGUAUAGCCGCCGUUUCCAGCGUUGUCCCGGAGCAAGGGGCAGGUUGGUCACGUGUUACUCACCCGUUCGCCACUCUAUCGUCCGCCCGAGGGCGGUUUAAUCGUUCGACUUGCAUGUGUUAAGCACGCCGCCAGUCGUUCAUCCUGACGCCGAGGUACUCCGAAAACUUCU
rnacentral:rRNA from 1 species